UGGGGGAUAUUGCACAAUGGGCGAAAGCCUGAUGCAGCGACGCCGCGUGGGGGAUGAAGGCCUUCGGGUUGUAAACUUCUUUUGCUCUGAACAAGGCAUGCUAAUGGGUGUGUUGAGUGUAGGGGUUGAUUAGCGCCGGCUAACUACGUGCCAGCAGCCGCGGUAAUACGUAGGGCGCGAGCGUUGUCCGGAAUUAUUGGGCGUAAAGGGCUUGUAGGUGGCUGGUUGCGUCUGUCGUGAAAGCUCAUGGCUUAACUGUGGGUUUGCGGUGGGUACGGGCUGGCUUGAGUGCAGUAGGUGAGGCUGGAAUUCCUGGUGUAGCGUUGGAAUGCGCAGAUAUCAGGAGGAAUACCGGUGGCGAAGGCGGGUCUCUGGGCUGUUACUGACACUGAGGAGCGAAAGCAUGGGGAGCGAACAGG
rnacentral:rRNA from 1 species